rnacentral:rRNA from 1 species
GACGAACGCUGACGGCGUGCCUAAUACAUGCAAGUAGAACGCUGAAGAGAGGAGCUUGCUCUUCUUGGAUGAGUUGCGAACGGGUGAGUAACGCGUAGGUAACCUGCCUUGUAGCGGGGGAUAACUAUUGGAAACGAUAGCUAAUACCGCAUAACAAUGGAUGACACAUGUCAUUUAUUUGAAAGGGGCAAUUGCUCCACUACAAGAUGGACCUGCGUUGUAUUAGCUAGUAGGUGAGGUAACGGCUCACCUAGGCGACGAUACAUAGCCGACCUGAGAGGGUGAUCGGCCACCCUGGGCCUGAGACACGGCCCAGACUCCUACGGGAGGCAGCAGUAGGGAAUCUUCGGCAAUGGGGGCAACCCUGACCGAGCAACGCCGCGUGAGUGAAGAAGGUUUUCGGAUCGUAAAGCUCUGUUGUAAGUCAAGAACGAGUGUGAGAGUGGAAAGUUCACACUGUGACGGUAGCUUACCAGAAAGGGACGGCUAACUACGUG